rnacentral:rRNA from 1 species
GAUGAACGCUGGCGGCGUGCUUAACACAUGCAAGUCGAGCGGAAAGGCCCAAGCUUGCUUGGGUACUCGAGUGGCGAACGGGUGAGUAACACGUGGGUGAUCUGCCCUGCACUUCGGGAUAAGCCUGGGAAACUGGGUCUAAUACCGGAUAGGACGAUGGUUUGGAUGCCAUUGUGGAAAGUUUUUUCGGUGUGGGAUGAGCUCGCGGCCUAUCAGCUUGUUGGUGGGGUAAUGGCCUACCAAGGCGUCGACGGGUAGCCGGCCUGAGAGGGUGUACGGCCACAUUGGGACGGAGAUACGGCCCAGACUCCUACGGGAGGCAGCAGUGGGGAAUAUUGCACAAUGGGCGCAAGCCUGAUGCAGCGACGCCGCGUGGGGGAUGACGGCCUUCGGGUUGUAAACUCCUUUCGCUAGGGACGAAGCGUUUUUGUGACGGUACCUGGAGAAGAAGCACCGGCUAACUACGUG